GGAUUUGACGGGGGCCCGCACAAGCGGCGGAGCAUGUGGAUUAAUUCGAUGCAACGCGAAGAACCUUACCUGGGCUUGACAUACACCGGACCGGGCCAGAGAUGGCCUUUCCCUUGUGGCUGGUGUACAGGUGGUGCAUGGUUGUCGUCAGCUCGUGUCGUGAGAUGUUGGGUUAAGUCCCGCAACGAGCGCAACCCUCGUUCUAUGUUGCCAGCGGGUUAUGCCGGGGACUCAUAGGAGACUGCCGGGGUCAACUCGGAGGAAGGUGGGGACGACGUCAAAUCAUCAUGCCCCUUAUGUCUUGGGCUUCACGCAUGCUACAAUGGCCGGUACAAAGGGUUGCGAUACUGUGAGGUGGAGCUAAUCCCAAAAAGCCGGUCUCAGUUCGGAUUGAGGUCUGCAACUCGACCUCAUGAAGUUGGAGUCGCUAGUAAUCGCAUAUCAGCAACGCUGCGGUGAAUACGUUCCCGGGCCUUGUACACACCGUCCGUCAAAGUCACGAAAGUUGGUAACACCCCAAGCCGGUGGCCUAACCCCUUGUGGGAGGGAGCCCGUCCAAAGUGGGACCCGGCGAUUGGUACUUAAGUCGUAACAAGG
rnacentral:rRNA from 1 species